rnacentral:sRNA from 1 species
CUUCUUCGAUCUGCUGCGGGCAGAUGAAGUGGAUAUGGCUGUCGAUGCCACCGGCGGUCACGAUCAUGCCCUCGCCGGCAAUGAUCUCGGUGGCGGCGCCGAUCACGAUAGUCACCCCGGGCUGGAUAUCGGGAUUGCCGGCCUUGCCGAUGGCGGCGAUGCGCCCGGCCUUCAGACCGAUAUCGGCCUUCUCCACCCCCCACCAGUCCAGGAUCAGCGCAUUGGUGAUCACCGUGUCCAUCACCUCGGCAUCGAGGCGCUGGCUCUGGCCCAUGCCGUCGCGGAU